rnacentral:rRNA from 2 species
GACGAACCGUACAAACGUUAUUCGGAAUUACUGGGCUUAAAGGGUGCGUAGGCGGCGAAGAAAGUUGGGUGUGAAAUCCCUCGGCUCAACCGAGGAACUGCGCCCAAAACUGCUUUGCUUGAGGGAGACAGAGGUAAGCGGAACUUAGGGUGGAGCGGUGAAAUGCGUUGAUAUCCUAAGGAACACCAGUGGCGAAAGCGGCUUACUGGGUCUCUUCUGACGCUGAUGCACGAAAGCUAGGGUAGCGAACGGG